UCUCCCCUUCCCUUCCCUUCCUCCUUCUUUUUGUUCUUCUUAUUCCUCUUCCUCCUUCUUCUUUCUUUCAACGUUUGAGGUUACUUGGGCCAUCGAUAUCUGGAACUAAAGUUUACCCUGAGGUUUGCAGGGUCACACAGGUAACCUCACUGAUCACAAACCUGUUUGAGGACCCAUUUGCUGUUACGAUGACAAAAUGAGAUUAUUUUUUUCCCUUUACGUAAUUCUAGGGUUGAGACAGGUAAGUUUUCUUUCUGUCCCCUUCUGAGUGAUCGCUUUAUUUGUUGUUCACUCUUACACUGGGCAUAGCCCGUAGACGGUCCCAGAUUCAUCCGGGGUCUCCUGUGUUUCCCUGCUCUGGGUCAGCCUCAGGCCACAUCUUCUUCUCCCCACAGUGCUCAGGGGCUCUGAGGUGAGGCGCGUCCCUGUGGGGUAAGUGCUGUUGGGUGGGUGCACCCCCAGGUUCUGUUUUCACCUCCCUUUCAGGGCCUGUCCCGUCAUUGCCACGGUGCCAGCCCAGCCAUGGAUUUGAAAUCAGCUCAAAAUAGUUCACUCGACUUUUCUGUGUUUCGGUGGCGGUGCCAGGAUGCUGCUGCUGCAGGAUAAGCUGUUCUCAGGGUCUCAGCAUCAGGUUUCCCCUCAGCUGCAGUCUUAUUGUUUGCAGGCUCAUUGUCAGUGGGAGGAGUUUUGCUCUGUUUUGUUUUGUGGUUAGUCUGUUUCUCUUUCUUGCCUUCCCUCCAUUCCUGCCGCACUUCUUUCUAGCAGCUUUGCGGUUGUCUGGUGCCUAAAUGCCCUGUCUCAGGACAGUGGUUGGGCUUCUGUCCCACUGGGGCACAAGGGGUCUCCCAGAUGGAGCCAUGGUUGGCAGGGGGUUGACUCACUGCUGACCCCCGAGGUUCAGGGCCUCCUACCUACCCUGGCUUGUGGGUUCAGGGUGCUGAAGCUCUGAUGGGGGUCAGGCAGCUUUACUGGGGGCGGGGGCAGGAGCCCUUCCUGCCUGGCUGGGGGUCUUCCACCCUGUAUGGGCAGUUUCAGUCUCUCCACCGUUCAGGAGCAACCCACUGGCCCUGCUGCCCGUUACCAAACCCGAGGUCCACAGGCCGCAGUCUUUGGCCACCCCCAGUGCUGUGCUUGUCAUUUGUAGACACCAGGCUACAUCCUUCAUGGCUUUUUUCAGUGCCUGCCACGUGUCUGGAGCAGAGAAGAAAAUGAAGUGUGAGUGCCCUGCCCCCUCCUGACCACAAGUUUCAGAUGUGGCUUUGAAGCCUGUACUCUGGUAGCGAUUAUUUUGUGGACAGAAUAAUCUCCCAAUUAAAAAGUGAAAAGUUUUCUUUACGCAUGCUCAUUCCUUCCUGAAGAGACCAACGCGAGCUCGCCGUGUUUGUGCAGGUCCUGGUUGUCUCACCCGAUAGCUGUGAUCACCAGCCAGCACGUGGCUCCUCUGAGCCUUUAUCCUCAUCGGCACCACUCUGCAAAUUCAUCUCGUGGAUGACUGUUUCCCAAGCAUCUCUACAUGCCAGGUCCCGACAUGCAGGCAGGAGAAUGCCCCACAGAUGUUCCCACUGAAUGCCCCAGGGCCUGGGGGUGUGAGGGUCACAUGACCAAGGAGAGUGACGGCUGCUCACUGCUGACCUGCGUGUGGGGAGAGCCUCCUGGUUACCCAGGGAAGCUGAUGUCUUUGCAGAACCCAUGAACAUGGAAGGGCGAGGCAGGAGAGGAGGCCAGAGCCAGUGGAGGCCAGAGUGGUGCUGCACCGCCAGCUCGGAGACGGCCUAACGGCCACCAGCCAGGGAAGGCAGAUGCCCACUGAAAAAGGGCAAGGAAGCGGAUGCGUCCUGGAGCCUCGGAAAGGAACGCAGCUUUUCCGAGAUGCUGAUUUGAGUCCAGCGAGACCCAGGCCAGGUGUGGGAGCUCCCGAGCUGUUGGGUGGUAACUGUGCUGCUGGAGCCUCCCGGUUUGUGAGGAUUUGUCACAGCAGCUGUAAGGUGUGAAUAUAGCCAUACACAGUGAAGGGCUUGGGAAGUGAUUCCCCGUCAGGGCAGUGGGUGUCUAACACCUGAUGUCCUGACCAGGCUAAGGGCCUUGGGCUUCUUCCCGCAGCCUCCGGUCUCCGGGUCCCACCACCAGCCACGCAGAGACUUCUAAGGGGAGCGCAGAUGCCUGGUCCCAGCCAGACGGGUCCGGAGCUGUUCCCUGGGAAGCCUUUACCGCUCUCUAUAGGAUUGUGAUGGGGAUGCAGGCACAGCCGAUGACGUCUCACACCCUCCUCAGUGGAGCUCCCAGGCCGGGGGCGUUCCCAGGGGCUCUUCCUUUGCUCCAGGUUCCAGUGAGUGCUUGUGUGGAGCUGCUGCUCUGUGUGCUUGAGCUGCGAAUAUCCAGUGGAGUCUGUGACAUUGCCGCUCCUUCUCACCCUGAGUGCCUGCAAGCACCAAUCAGCCGUGUUAUUGAAGUCUGGGCAUUCAGGGCUGUGCAGUUCCCCGAAAAGCACACGAGGCAGAGUAGAGAAGGCCUCGGCGUCUUACGGGUUUAGAACUUUUAGCUUUUUAAUAUAUUGUUGUGAAAAAUGGCAACCCUGCUGCAGCCCCUGUGGGAAGUCAGGGCUGAGCAGGCCUGUGGGGUGAAGCCGGCAGCCCCUCUUUGGCCUCCGGGGUCGGGGGAGCAGAAUGCGAAGCUGAACAUUCCUGAGGAUCUGUUCUGGACACCUGCAGAAAGCCCUGGAAGCCCAACCCAUGGCCACACAUCCUUCAGGAGCCGUCCCGCCGCGCCGGGUGGCUGGAGAGACCCUGUGUCUGCCGCUCCCCCCCCACAGGGCACACAGACCCUGCUGCACCGGGUGGCUGGAGAGACCCUGUGUCUGCCGCUCCCCCGCCACAGGGCACACAGACCCUGCUGCACCGGGUGGCUGGAGAGACCCUGUGUCCACGGCCUGAGGCUGCCCCCGCUGCAGGGCACACAGACCCGUGAUCCGGGCAGCCCAUCCUGUCGGAGCCACCUCCUGGGGGAUGCUGCUGGGACGGACCCCAGGCCUCUGCAUGAGCUCGGUUAUGACGGCGUCCUCUCUGGACCGUGCAGAGUCUGUGAGGCUGUGCAGAAGAGGGCCCAGCACAGAUCUGGCACCGAAGGGAUUUCCCAGGUGUCUGAUGUGUGCCAGUUUCCAGGCUGAAGAUGAAUACGAGUGGGCCCGCCUAGUCUGAAAACUGAGUUGCUGUUUUAAAAGGGACUUCAGAAACUUCAGACCUUCUGGGGCACACACGUGGGUCAUGUGACCCUUUCCACCCACUCCACUUAGGAAGCCCCAAACCCUCUAAGGAGCAGGCUGUGUCGGUUCUCCUAAGGAGCUCCCAGGCACCCUGCUGUCCUCGUUGGCGGAACAGCCCGGCCUGGUGGAUGGUAUUGUCCCGCUUUCCAGAGGAGAAAGCAGAGGGUUUGGGGAGUCUGCUCUAAGUUACACAGAGCUGCUGCAAGAUUUAGGAUUAGAACUCGGUGUCUGGAACAGCCGCUGACCUCAGAAGUUAGGUUCCAACACAAUUGCCACAAACUCCGUGUCUCUGAAACCCCACAUGGGUGAUGCUUCCAAGGGGUUUGCAGCCUCCAGCCAGAGUCGUUGAUUGUGCUGAGUGGGAAAAAGGGUCAAAAUAAAUGUGUGCUACCAUCGUGCUCCCACGUGUCAUCGAUCAAUGGCUUAGAUUUUUGGGGAGUAGAAUGUGCUGUCUACACUGGUGCUGCUGCCGGUCGGGGAGCUCAGGCACUGGGCGGCCCUCAGGGGAGCAGCCCUUGUUUUCUCGUGGGGUCCACUGUGAGAUCUGCUUUACCUGGGUCCUUCCUGUCAGUGCCUGCUGACCUCAGCCACCCUGUCCCAGUCCCUCCUGAUGGUCCCUUCCCUGCAAGCUUGCCAGCUCCUCCUCUCAAUCUCACUGUCCACAUCUUAGGGCAAUGACGUCAAAGUGAUCUCCAGGGCUCGGGAACACGCCAGUGAAUUUCUGCAGGCUUCCGGAAACUGGGCCACAUGGGUGCAGUCAGCGUGGGGGGCCACGGCUUUCUAUGGAAGUUAAAGCCUUUGCAUUUUCAUGCUGAUGCAAAUGUAAACACAUGCACACACCUGCACACAUGCACCACACACGCGUGUACAUACCCACCACAUACAUACGUGUGCACACACUCACAGCACAUAGGAACUGCCUUGCAGGCGAGCUUGGUGUCUGCUGAGCUUGGUCUCUUCUCAGGAUUGUAAGCCUUUGCCCAUGACACGGCACACACCAGACAUGUCCAGCUGCUCGUCCAGGCAGGGCCCUGCCUCGCGCUGCCGAAGGUGCUCCCAGAAGGAGGGUGCAGUGAUGCCAAGGGGGGAAGUGAUGGGACAGAGUCCCGGAAUGGUGAUUUGGUGUCAGCAAAACCAUAUCAUCUGCCACAUUGAAUUUAUAUUUUUAAUUUGAAUUUUGUUGCUGUUAUAGUUUUGUGUUUAAUUUAUUAAUGUGUUUUGUUGUUAAAGCCAUAUAAAAGCAAAAAGCAAGAGUUUAUGUCUAGUUGAAUGUUUGUACAUAUUGAAACAAGAUUAUAACAAAACAAUUCUCAGUCCGUGCUGGGGGUGAGAAGCUGUGUUUCCAUGUUCUUCUAUUGCCUGUAUUUUAAGGUGCCCUUCAAAGGCCUAGGCCUUAAGCCACGGUUGGCAAAUGCCCCAGGCGCGACCUCGCCCCUGGCGGUUCUGUCAAUCAGGUUUUCCUGGGAUUCAGCCACGUCAUCCCAGUGUUUCCUGCACCUGCUUUCAUGCUGUGGUGGUGGGCGAGCUCCUGCAACUCAGGCUGUGGGGUCCACAAAACCUGCAAUUGUUUCUGGCUCUUAGAAAGGCAUCUGGGAACCCCAACCUUAAACAACAGGUUUUCUAAAGCUGGCUGGACCUCAGAAUCAACCAGGGAAAUUCAACACAAAACAAAAAUACAAGGCCAGGCCCCAGGUCCUGCUCUGGAAACCACUUUGGAAUCAGCAGGGGACUGUGAGUGCCGAGUCCUCUGCAUGCUCCCAGGUGAUCCCAGGACUGUCGCGACUGCCCUGGUCCCUCAGAAGACCUGGAGGCGACGCCCCAGCCUGUGGCAGGCCCAGGAGAAAGCGUCAGCCACUACCCAGACCAAGGAUGGGGCCACCCGGACCCCCGUCACUGCACCAUUAGCACAGGCUGGAGGCCCACCUCUGACCCCACAUCUGGUGGUCUUUCUGCCUCUGGGAUAAUGAGCCCGUCUUAAGAGGCUAAGUUUCCCUCUGUGUGGUUUGUCUGAAUCCCAUAUUCAUUGCUUUACUCCCCUAACACAUUUAUAUAAUCGGCCACUCCCCAAAUCGCAAGGAAAUUUAUUUAAAACAUUUUCUCCAAUUUAAAUGGCAAUUAAAUUAGACCUUGUGGAGACACCUGGGAAUGAAGAUAAAUAUUUUAUUUGCUUUUUCUUACAUAGAAAAACGAUGCAUCCCAAGAAUGCAAACGAUGUUUAUUUCACAGAACGAGUAGGAUUGUCUGUGGAUAGCAGGUACAUCUACUUACCUUGUGGCUGGAGACAAGGUAGUGGCCAGGCACCUGGCAUGGCCUGCCCUACAGAGUGGCCUCUCUGGACACUCUCAUGCCUGCAUUCAGACAGCCCAGGAAGCAGGCAGGGCAGCUCUCUGGGGCCAUCGCAGGCUGUUCCACUGAUGUCAAUCAGCCUGAGAGCUGGAGGAUGCUGACAGCGGCAGAAGGAGGCGGGAAAGAGGCCAGGGCAGUGGGAUGGGAGCAAGGAGAACUCAGGAGAGGCCCCCAGGAGGGAUCGCUGUAGCUCAGGAGAGCAAUGGCCUGGGAUCCUCCUAUGGAAACUAGAGCCACCAUCCAGACGAACGUGUUUGCUGUCAGAGCAGAAUCCUAUGCACUCCCUCAAAUAAACGUUUUGUUUUUCAUUCUUGGAAUGCUUCAUUUUUCUAUGUAAGAGCAGAAUUAUUUAUUGUGGCCAUCGAAGGAGAGGGCAUUUCUGUGAGAGGUACCCAUAACUGGAUACUGGUGUGGUUAUUCCUCACUUGAUAACAAGAGGUUCCCACAGAGGGCAGCUGCCGAAAGCCAGGCCGGGCUCGAGGUGAGCGAGAAGAGGGUGCGCACGGAUCAGGGCGGGGAAAUGCACCAGCCUCCAGCCAGGGGCUUCCUCGGAACCAGGGGCUGUGAUGAGCCCACAGGGGACCGGCUUUUGCCCCAGGAUGACUCACGGUGGGCUGCUAACAGGCUGUACACUUGGCUCACGGGACACGUGACCUGUUUGUGGACAAGCAGCACAUCAGCUUUCUUUGGAUUAAGGCAAAUGCAUUCACAUUGGAGCCCAGGACCUUCCCAACCCCCCACUCUGACAAAGGCCCCUCUGGGAAGGAUCCCUGGAGCGGUCCGGCAGCCCCAGCUGUGGGGUCUGGUGAGCAUCCUGUCCAAGUAGGAGAGAGGUAGUUGCUAUCUGGAAAGAGAUAUAUCUAUUUUAAAUUUCAACUUCUAUUUCAGAUUCCGGGGGGACAUGUGCAGGUUUGCUACAUUACUAUAUUGUGUGAUGCUAAGGUUUGGGGUACAAGGGAUCCUAUCACCCAGGUAGUGAGCACAGUACCCAACAGGCAGCUUUGCAGCCCUCCCCUCCCCUUUCGGAUUCCCUAGUGUCUGCUGUUCCCUUUUUUAUGUUCGUGAGUACCCAGUGUUUAGCUCCUACUUAUAAAUGAGAACAUCUGGUAUUUGGAUUUCAGUUCCUGAGUUAAAUUGCUUAGGACGGUGGCCUCCAGUUGCAAAGGACAUGCUUUUAUUCUUUUUUUAUGGCUGCGCAGUACUCCAUGGUGUAUACGUGCCACGUUUUCUUUAUCCAGUCCACCGUGGAUGGGCACUGAGGUGGGUUUCCCGUCUUUGCAGUUGGAGAUAGUGCUUCCAUGAACAUACAGGUGCAGGUGUCUUUUUGGGCAAAAGAUUUGUUUUCCUUUGGGCACAUAC